rnacentral:tRNA from 1 species
UCCCUGCUGGCUCAGUCAGUAAAGAAUCUGCCUACAAUGCGGAAGACCUGGGUUCGACCCCUGGGUUGGGAA